AUGUACAUAUAAAAACUGUCUUGUUUGUUUUAUUUAUCAGUUCUUUCUCUGGAGGUGGACAUAUCCAAAUUAUUCUUUAAACAAUAUUUGCUUUGCUGUUUUCAUGGUUCUACUGUGGAAGAGGCAAGAAGAGAGAGGUUUUGAAGGACAAGACAAGAUGCAAGAGACUAAGCUGGGGACAGGUUUUGUCCAUCAAGACGAAGAUUCUAAAAUGGAAUGUUCCCAGGAGGAGUGGCAGUUGAGCAACAGUUUUCCUUCAAGACUCAGCUCAAGUACAGCCUUCUACGUGAAUCUUUUCCAGAUGCCCACAACUGCGAAUUCACCAAGAACUGAAAAAUCGAGCAUUAAUUUUGAAUAUUUUAUAUUCCUGAGCAUUUGAAGAAUCUACUUUGGUAAGAAGAAGCAUUUGCAAAUGCAAUAUGUGGGAGGUACUUGCAUAAAUUUCAUUAUUUGUUGGUGAAAUAUCAACAGCUGGAGUGUUAGAUCUAGAAUCUCCAAAUUAAAACAAGCCCUGCUUAUUUCAAAUGAA
rnacentral:lncRNA from 1 species